GGGUCAGUAGGUUGGUCGUGCCACCGGUACGUACUGGUCUCACUGAUUCCUCCUUCCUGAAGAACCGUAAUGCCAUUAAUUUGGUGUUGCGGGGAAACAGGUCUGUUGCUUUGAAAAAAUUAGAGUGUUUAAAGCAAGCUAACGCUUGAAUACAUUAGCAUGGAAUAAUGAAAUAGGACGAUCGAUCCUAUUUUGUUGGUUUCUAGGAUUGACGUA
rnacentral:rRNA from 1 species